rnacentral:lncRNA from 1 species
UAGAUCUUAUACUUGACUAUCACACUUUUGCUUCAAAGGAUCGAAAAUUAAACUCUAUACUCAAUACUUAACAUAUUAUAAACUAUGCAUUAAAUAGUACAUAUUACUCCUAUGCAUUAAAUACUGUUUGUUCUAGUACUGUUUGUAUAUAGUAUUGUAUAUUUCUUAACUGUACCACCAGAAAACCUAGUGCACAAAUAUUAGCUAGCAAGCUAGGUAGCAAGAUCCUGCAGCACGAUCAUCACCUGGAUUGUCCUCGUUCUUGUUCUUGGUUUUUUUGAUGAAGGAAAAAACAGACCGAACUAAGCACUCCCCCAUCAUUGUCGACACAUGCUUCUUCUUUGCAGGUAGCAAGCUCCUACCACUUUUAGAUUUGGUCUCUCCUUCGCCUGCAUCUCCCUUCACUAAUUUAUCCGCCAUCUCUUUCUCUUUGCUUCUCUCUUUUAC